AACGAACGCUGGCGGCAUGCCUAACACAUGCAAGUCGAACGAGACCUUCGGGUCUAGUGGCGCACGGGUGCGUAACGCGUGGGAACCUGCCCUUAGGUUCGGAAUAACUCCCCGAAAGGGGUGCUAAUACCGGAUAAUGUCUUCGGACCAAAGAUUUAUCGCCUUUGGAUGGGCCCGCGUUGGAUUAGCUAGUUGGUAGGGUAAAAGCCUACCAAGGCGACGAUCCAUAGCUGGUCUGAGAGGAUGAUCAGCCACACUGGGACUGAGACACGGCCCAGACUCCUACGGGGGGAAGCAGUGGGGAAUAUUGGACAAGGGGCGAAAGCCUGAUCCAGCAAUGCCGCGUGAGUGAUGAAGGCCUUAGGGUUGUAAAGCUCUUUUAACCGGGAGGAUAAUGACAGUACCGGGAGAAUAAGCGCCGGCUAACUCCGUG
rnacentral:rRNA from 1 species